rnacentral:rRNA from 1 species
UCAGCAGCCCGCGGUAAUUCCAGCUCUGUAAGCGUAUACCAAAGUUGUUGCAGUUAAAACGCUCGUAGUCGGACUUUGGCAAUUCCGGAUGUGUGCGCGUCGUGCGCGCACUUCGCAGGGGUUGCUUUUGUGGGCAUGCGUGGGAUGAGGCAACUUUAUUGUUGAACGUCUCUACGCAACCACCUUUUACUGUGAGAAAAUUAGAGUGUUCAAAGCAGGCAAUUGCCGUGAAUACAUUAGCAUGGAAUAAUAGAAUAGGACUCGGUCUUAUUUUGUUGGUUUGUUAGGGCUGAGUAAUGAUUAAGAGGGACAGUUGGGGGCAUUUGUAUUCCGGCGCUAGAGGUGAAAUUCUUAGAUUGCCGGAAGACAAACUGCUGCGAAAGCGUCUGCCAAGGAUGUUUUCAUUGAUCAAGAACGAAAGUAAGGGGAUCGAAGACGAUCAGAUACCGUCGUAGUCUUUACUAUAAACGAUGAGGACUGGGGAUCGGGCGAGGAAUAUCGAUGACCCGCCCGGCACCCUCCGGGAAACCAAAGUGUUUGCUUUCUGGGGGGAGUAUGGUCGCAAGGCUGAAACUUAAAGGAAUUGACGGAAGGGCAUCACCGGGUGUGGAGCCUGCGGCUUAAUUUGACUCAACACGGGA